rnacentral:rRNA from 1 species
GCAGUAGCCGCGGUAAUACGUAAGGUGCGAGCGUUAAUCGGAAUUACUGGGCGUAAAGCGUGCGCAGGCGGUUUUGUAAGACAGGCGUGAAAUCCCCGGGCUCAACCUGGGAAAUGGCGCUUGUGACUGCAAAGCUAGAGUGCGGCAGAGGGGGAUGGAAUUCCGCGUGUAGCAGUGAAAUGCGUAGAUAUGCGGAGGAACACCGAUGGCGAAGGCAAUCCCCUGGGCCUGCACUGACGCUCAUGCACGAAAGCGUGGGGAGCAAACAGGAUUAGAUACCCCCGUAGUCCCUGUCUCUUAUA